GGUAGUGUGGCCGAGCAGUCUAAGGCGCUGGAUUUAGGCUCCAGUCUCUAAGGAGGCGUGGGUUCAAAUCCCACCACUGCAAUCU